ACGGGGGGGGCAAGCGUUGUUCGGAAUUACUGGGCGUAAAGGGCGCGUAGGCGGCCUGCUAAGUCGGACGUGAAAUCCCACGGCUCAACCGUGGAACUGCAUCCGAUACUGGUGGGCUUGAAUCCGGGAGAGGGAUGUGGAAUUCCAGGUGUAGCGGUGAAAUGCGUAGAUAUCGAGAGGAACACCUGCGGCGAAGGCGGGUUGCUGGGCUGACACUGACGCUGAGGCGCGAAAGCCAGGGGAGCGAACGGGA
rnacentral:rRNA from 1 species